UACGUAGGGUGCAAGCGUUAAUCGGAAUUACUGGGCGUAAAGGGCGCGUAGGCGGAUAGUUUAGUCAGAGGUAAAAGCCCAGGGCUCAACCUUGGAACUGCCUUUGAUACUGGCUAUCUUGAGUUCGGGAGAGGUGAGUGGAAUGCCGAGUGUAGAGGUGAAAUUCGUAGAUAUUCGGCGGAACACCAGUGGCGAAGGCGACUCACUGGCCCGAGUACUGACGCUGAGGCGCGAAAGCGUGGGAGCAACA
rnacentral:rRNA from 1 species